GUGGGGAAUCUUAGACAAUGGGCGCAAGCCUGAUCUAGCCAUGCCGCGUGAGCGAUGAAGGCCUUAGGGUUGUAAAGCUCUUUCGUGGGGGAAGAUAAUGACUGUACCCCAAGAAGAAGCCCCGGCUAACUCCGUGCCAGCAGCCGCGGUAAUACGGAGGGGGCUAGCGUUGUUCGGAAUUACUGGGCGUAAAGCGCACGUAGGCGGACUGGAAAGUCAGGGGUGAAAUCCCGGGGCUCAACCCCGGAACUGCCUUUGAAACUCCCAGUCUUGAGUUCGAGAGAGGUGAGUGGAAUUCCGAGUGUAGAGGUGAAAUUCGUAGAUAUUCGGAGGAACACCAGUGGCGAAGGCGGCUCACUGGCUCGAUACUGACGCUGUGGUGCGAAAGCGUGGGGAGCAAACAGGAUUAGAUACCCGGGUAGUCC
rnacentral:rRNA from 1 species